AGAGUUUGAUCCUGGCUCAGGAUGAACGCUAGCGGGAGGCUUAACACAUGCAAGUCGAGGGGCAGCACGAGGUAGCAAUACUUUGGUGGCGACCGGCAGACGGGUGAGUAACGCGUAUGCAACCUACCCUGUACUGGGGGAUAACCCGGAGAAAUUCGGACUAAUACCCCAUAGUGAUAUAGAGAGGCAUCUUGAAAUAUUUAAAGUUUCGACGGUACGGGAUGGGCAUGCGUAACAUUAGCUAGUUGGUAAGGUAACGGCCUACCAAGGCUUUGAUGUUUAGGGGUCCUGAGAGGGUGGUCCCCCACACUGGUACUGAGACACGGACCAGACUCCUACGGGAGGCAGCAGUGAGGAAUAUUGGUCAAUGGGCGAAAGCCUGAACCAGCCAUCCCGCGUGCAGGAAGACGGCCCUAUGGGUUGUAAACUGCUUUUCCAGGGGGAGAAACUCUCGUACGUGAUACGGGAUUGACGGUACCUUGGGAAUAAGCAUCGGCUAACUCCGUGCCAGCAGCCGCGGUAAUACGGAGGAUGCAAGCGUUAUCCGGAUUCAUUGGGUUUAAAGGGUGCGUAGGCGGACUAUUAAGUCAGUGGUGAAAUCCUGCAGCUUAACUGCAGAACUGCCAUUGAUACUGAUAGUCUUGAGUUUGGUUAAGGUAGGCGGAAUGUGUAAUGUAGCGGUGAAAUGCUUAGAUAUUACACAGAACACCGAUUGCGUAGGCAGCUUACUGAGCCGACACUGACGCUGAGGCACGAAAGCGUGGGGAUCGAACAGGAUUAGAUACCCUGGUAGUC
rnacentral:rRNA from 1 species